rnacentral:rRNA from 1 species
UACGGAGGGUGCAAGCGUUUGUCCGGAUUUAUUGGGUUUAAAGGGUGCGUAGGUGGCCGCUUAAGUCAGCUUUGAAAGCUGGUCGCUUAACGAUCAGGGGUGGGUUGAUACUGAGCGGCUUGGAUCAGGUGGCGGUUUCUGGAACGGGUCGUGUAGCGGUGAAAUGCAUAGAUAUGACCCAGAACUCCGAUUGCGAAGGCAGGAGCUACGCCUGG